UCUGCACUCUGAAAACAGAGGGAAUGUUCCAAAGAGACAAGCAGAUUCUCUUCCUUCUUUGUACUUUUUUACUGAAGUUACUCCAGGACGAAAUGUAAGUGCGUUACCACAGCCUUCAAGGCUCUGUAAGAGCUCUACUCAACUUUCAUCUCCAGUUUCGAGGCUCAGCCAUGCUUCAGGAUAAAUAGCCAUAAUAGUUGAUUGGGAAUAGCAGAUCUAGAAGAAAGCCUCCAUAUGCCUUAGAGAUCAAGUGCACAUUGUAUGUGCCCGUAAGAUGUGCGCAAGGAGAAGAGGUUCCCCACAGCCUGAGCGUCUCCUUGUGAACAGCAAAGGAAGCUGCUGACGCCUGUGGCUGAUUUGUGUGCGUGCACACAUGCCUUGGCAUGCCUGUGGAAGUCAGAGAACAUUUUUCAACCGAUUUUCUCCUAACACCUUGUGAGUCCUGGGAAUCAGAAACAAGACAUCAAAGUUUGGGACAGAAGAGCAUCUAGUGCAGUUUGGAAUUGUAAUUAGGAUAUUCUGUGCCAUCUGCCUUGCUCGCUGUGAUUCGCUAGCUGCACCCAGAUUACAUCACAAAGGGAGCUGGAACUGGAGUCGGAUUUUCAUGCUGGAAAACCCAAAAGCACUCAUGCCAUGUUUAUCCUCCUGAAGCAUUUGAUGUUGGUUAAUCAACAAUGAAGUUUACUUCUGGAUUCCACUAGUACUUGGAGCAAAGGAUUGGGUGGCUGACCAGAAGUGCAGUUUUCAGAGGUUCUUGAUUCAAAUUCUACGUUGCCAGCAAUAGUCUGAUACCGACCUGGGCCUCUGUUUCUGUUCAAUCAAAUGUGGCUUUGACUCUCGUGAGGCAUCAUCACUUUUGACUUUCUCAUUUAAAACAAACCUUAUUGUGGGAAAUUUAAAUUUAGAGUACAGUGUUGUUCUUUUUCCUGGCCAUCCUGAUUCUCCACAUGCCCUGUUAAGUGAUCGCUGUUUACUUUUGCAAGUCUCUGCUCAGGUUGAGCUGGUCAUUCUUUGUCCACCAUGCAGUCGAAAGGCAUUGAGAAGCAUAGGGUGAAAGCACGAAAGCUUGGUUGUUUUACUGGCUUUGUGAGCUCCGAGGCUGUAAUUCACCUUUGCGAGUUUCUCCUUUGAUAUCUAUGGACACAGGCUACUCUGAUGAUCUCAUGAUCACCGUAAAAGAAAU